UUUAGGUAGCUCCGUUAUGGGCGAUGGUUUGGUUUUACAAUUUGGGUUAAGGGUUUACGGUUUGGGUUUAGGGUUUAGGGGGUUAGGGUUUAGGUAGCUCCGUUUGGGUCUAUGGUUUGGGUUAAGAAUUUGUGUUUAGGGUUUGGGUUUAUGGUUUAGAGUUUUGGUUUAGGGUUUAGGUAGCUCUGCUAUGGUUUACGGUUUGGGUUAAGAUUUUGGAUUUAGAGUUUGGGUUUAGGGUAUACGGUUUGGGUUUAAAAGUCUACCGUUUGGGUUUACAGUUUAGAGUUUGGGUUUAGAGUUUAGUGUUUAGAGUUAUGGUUUAGAUAGCAGGUUUAGAGUUUAUUUGGUUGUGUUUCAUUAUGUUAACUAACAUCAAUUACCAUGCUAUUCUAAAUGAAAUAUAUUAUAGUUAGAGUGAAAUUAUUCGUGUGACUAUAUUAAAUAGUGUGUAGUAUAGUAUGAUAAUUUUAUCUUCUGCAUUU
rnacentral:lncRNA from 1 species